UGGUAGAGCUCUCAUAAAAAGUGUCACUGC
rnacentral:piRNA from 1 species